UUAUUGAGGGACUUCUGGAGGAGUAGUUUGAAGAACGGCUGAGGAGAACAAUGAGAUCAAAGGUCUUCCUUGGAUCAGGAUUUCCCUAGCCUCUAAGUCACUGAAACCAAAAUUGUAAUUAUUUUUAAAACAAGUUUUGGGCCGGGCGUGGUGGCUCACGCCUGUCAUCCCAGCACUUUGGGAGGCUGAAGCAGGUGGAUCACAAGGUCAGGAGUUCGAGACCAGCCUGACCAACAUGGUGAAACCCCGUCUCUACUAAAAAUACAAAAGUUAGCCGGGCAUGGUGGUGGGUGCCUGUAAUCCCAGCUACUCGGGAGGCUGAGGCAGGAGAAUUGCUUGAAUCCAGUAGGCAGAGGUUGCAGUGAGCCAAGAUUGCGCCACUGUACUCCAGCCCAAUAGAGCAAGACUCUGUCUUGAAAAAAAACAAAAAAGAAAAAAACAGAAAAAGCAAGUUUUAUAUUAUCAUAUUUAAAUAACUAUUGUUGAGUUACUAAUUUUAAACAUGCUAUUUAUGAACUCAUUUGUUUAUUCACUCAAGCAUUUUUUCUUCCUGAAAUAAGUGGUAGAAUCAAGGACUAGUUAUUUCCUUUGCCUUGAAUAUCCACCACACAUUUUUCUCUAUUAAUACAGUAACACAAAAUACAUUAGUGAAUUAUUUGUCACCUUUAGAUACAAGGAAAAGUGUUUCCAGGAAGUAGAGUAUUGGCAUUGUUUCAAUAAUGGAAUUGCCUCCCUGUUCACUGUUCUGUAUCUCUCUUCCUGUUUAGGAUUUUUUAAAUGGGGUCACCUAUGCUGAUUAUCUGUACUUUUUCACAUAUCAUUUUUUAUUUUGAACUAUCUUGAUUUUGCCCCAGUUACUAUUUUAAAUUUGUUUGACUUGGUUCCUAAUUUAUUUAAUUAUGAAAAACACGUUUCUUUUCAAAUAUCUUCUUGUUUGAAAUAUCUGCUGCAUUUCUAUUUGUUCCUCAUUCUCAUGUCUUUUCAAGUGGGAAGAAGUGUAGCCCCAUUGGAAGGUGAGGGGCUAAACAGAGCUCAGGACUCUGUGAUUAGUUCUCCCUAUUUAGAGCUGUUGGGAUUAACACCCUAAAUUUAUCUCUUGGCAGCCCUAACUUUAAUCUACACAAGAAUCCCUUUGGGAUUGUUUAAAAUGUAGAUUCAUAAACUCUUGUGGAUUGAAAGUCUGAAAGUGAUGAUGCCAAUAAAUCUACAUUUUAACAAGCAUCUUCAAGUGAUUAUGAUUUGCCUACUUGGAAGCUACUCAGAAAACAAACAAAUUAGUGAUAAGAUAGUAACUAAGAAGCUUCACAAAAACUAUGACAUUUGCAGUUGCUUGUUGUCAAAUAUCACUUGUCUUUUUUAUUUCUUACUGCUAACUCCCAUUUGAAAACAUGUGCAUCUAGUGUUGAACCAUGACUAAGUCAAGUCUGCUGCCAUUUUGCUAACUUCUCAUCUUGUUUAUUGCAUCAUUUAAAAUACUUUGAGCUGGAGGUAAGAGAAUGUCUGACUAUAAGUGGCUUAAACAGCAAGGAUAUUUGUUAACCCUGAUGGCAAAACAUCAUGAGGUUGCGGUAUCAGGGCUAGUUCAGUGGCUCAAUAAUGUUAUGAAAAACCUAAGUUCUUAGGCCUUUUUGCUAUUUCAUAAAUAUGCUGAUUUAAGCCCUUAAAGUUACAAGAUAGGAAGUUAGGAAGUCGUGAACAGUACUUAGGGCAUCGUGUUCUUAAACAACUGUGUCAAAAGGCAGGAAAAGGGAGAGGAACCUUUGCGUUAUGUUCAUUUCUCUUUUUAUCAGGAGAACAUUGUUUUUUUCUUUUUUUUUUCAAAAGCACCUCAGUGGACUUCCUCAUAUGCCUGAAUUUCCAAAAUCAUUCUACAUGGUCACCACAACUUAAUCAGUGUGGGAAUAUCAAGAUUAUUUUUAUAUCAGAGGCUAGAGGAGGAUCCCACGUCCCCUGAGUAAAAUUGUACACAAACAUAAAAUAAUUAAAAAUCAAUGUUCUACUUAUGAUUUUGUGACACUUGAUAAAUAAUAUUUAAAAUUGAUUUGUUGUUAUAGGUAAUUAUAACUAUGUAGAUAGUUAAAUUAACAAAUUAAUUAAUAAUUAAUAUUAUCUAGGAGUCUGGACUUUAUACAUUAAAAUUGCCAUCAAAAUUUUAAAUGAGUCUUCUCAAUGGGAAAAUGGUAUUUACCUU
rnacentral:lncRNA from 10 species